rnacentral:rRNA from 1 species
UACGUAGGUGGCGAGCGUUGUCCGGAAUUACUGGGUGUAAAGGGCGUGUAGGCGGGGAGACAAGUCAGAUGUGAAAUACCGAGGCUUAACUUCGGGGCUGCAUCUGAAACUGUUUUUCUUGAGUGUCGGAGAGGAAAGUGGAAUUCCCAGUGUAGCGGUGAAAUGCGUAGAUAUUGGGAGGAACACCAGUGGCGAAGGCGACUUUCUGGACGACAACUGACGCUGAGGCGCGAAAGCGUGGGGAGCAAACAGG